rnacentral:lncRNA from 1 species
UUUUGACCAAUUAAAUUUUGCCACAUCAUCACAACAAAUAUUAUGAUAAUUAUUGUUUUUUUAUUGGAUUUUGGAUAAUUAAGUUUAUUCAACCAAACUCAAUUUAGGUUCAAUAAACAAAUGAGCCCAAACCCAACAGACAAAUAGGCUUAAGCCCAAGCCCAACAAGAAAAUGGGCCAAGGCCCACCAACCCAUGAAAUUUCUCUAUAAAUAGAGACCAUUGCCAUUCAUCUGAGGGAUCUGGGGAUUGAAGCUUUGAAGUACUGAAGCUCUGAAGAAUUGAAGAUUCAAACUUUUACAAGCUCUCAAGACGUAUGAAUCUGUAUUAACCUCGAGAUCAACAUCUUCUGAAAGACUGGGGAUUUGGAAAUUAAACUUUCCUUGAAUUCUAGAAGGUCGAAGUUUAGAUCAACUUGCAACUGCAACAUCCUGAAGAUCGAAAACUAAGAAGUUCUAAAGUUUAUUUUUAUCUUGUAUUAGAGAGAAAACAUCAAAUGAGUAAAUACUAGAGAUUGUAUCCGCUAUAUUCAUCAAUAGAUCAAAGUUCAAUUCCACAAAAUAUAUUUAUUCGAAAUCUCGUGUGAAUAGUUUGCCACGCCCAGUGGGACCAUCUCUACCUUUCAUCUCUUUCUCUUUUUGAAGAACGUUUCUAAGGAAAUCAUGGCAUCUCAAGGAAACACUUCCAAAGCUCUAGAUGACAUUAGCAAGCGACCAAAUACUUGCAGUCGCUCAAGGGAGUUUCAUUCAUCUGAGGAUGUGCCACCCUUUGAGGUCACAAAGAAUAUUUGGGAACAAAUCUCUAGUCCACCAAGAAGUGGAAUUGUAAUCAAAUAAAAUCUUGUGAUUGAUGAACACAACUCAUCAUCUGAAUGCCCGAAUGAGAAGGUACCUCAUCCAAACAUAAUGUUAGUUAUGGUGACUAGCGUGGAUAUAAGCAAAAAUAGAAUGACUGAGCUUGAAAAGAGGGUCAACAUGCUCAUGAAGGCCCUUGAAGAAAGAAACUACGAGAUUGAAUCUUUAAAAAAUCAGACCGAGAGUCGUGACGCUGCUGAAUAGUCACACACAUACUGUCAAGAAUGUUGACAAAGGCAAGACAAUUAUGCAAGAAAGUCAACCACAAAACUGAUAGAAAUAAGACAUGCACAGCGGAAAAAGAAUCGAAAUUCUACCCUAAUUGCCACAAUUAACAAGUAACCCUAAACUAAUCAAAUUAGGGUUUUAGGAAAUAUUACCUUUGAAGCUUUAAAAAAACUUUGAUAUCUCCUUAGCAAUUCAAACUGAGACCACCACUAAUGCUCAACUACUAUCAUCUGGACAAAGAACCGGGUUGUGGGACCCAAUUUGAUGUAGAAAGUAAUGGAGAUAAAAGGAAAUUGGAAGGUAGAAGUUUUUUUUUUUUUUUUUUGUUGAGAUUUUUGGAGUAUAUUCAAAAAAGGCAAAAAUUUUCAACCACUUGAAAUCUUCCCUAUUUAUAACCUAAUUACAUGCAAAAAUGCAUGUAAUUAAUUUGCCAAAUCUCAACACCUAAUGUUCCACUAACAAUUAGUGGAACUUAGUGGGCUAGG